UACGAAGGGGGCUAGCGUUGCUCGGAAUGACUGGGCGUAAAGGGCGCGUAGGCGGCUUGCACCGCCAGAUGUGAAAUUCCUGGGCUUAACCUGGGGGCUGCAGUCGAUACGGGCAGACUAGAGUGCGGUAGGGGAGACUGGAAUUCCUGGUGUAGCGGUGAAAUGCGCAGAUAUCAGGAGGAACACCGGUGGCGAAGGCGGGUCUCUGGGCCGUAACUGACGCUGAGGAGCGAAAGCGUGGGGAGCGAACGGG
rnacentral:rRNA from 1 species